rnacentral:lncRNA from 1 species
GCAUACGGGACGUCAUCAAUGUGUUUCACCGCCUUCGACAGCUGAGAGACAAAAAGAAGCCCGUGCCUCUACUACUGGAUCAAGAUUAUGUUAAUUUAAAGAACCAAAUUAUAAAGGCGGAAAGACGAGUUCUCAAAGAGUUGGGUUUCUGCGUCCAUGUGAAGCAUCCUCAUAAGAUAAUCGUUAUGUACCUUCAGGUGUUAGAGUGUGAGCGUAACCAACACCUGGUCCAGACCUCAUGGUGAGUUGAGCUUCCUUGUUUUAUGAGACCAGCAAGGGCAGUGCAGGAAUGUGUUGACUUGAGGCACUUGGGCAGUGGGUAGGCAGCCCAGUGACUUGGUUGUGGGCUGGAGUUGUCCGAGUGCCCAGUGCUCCUGCUGUAUAAAUUCCAAUCAGACUCCCAAAAUGGGCACUGGCAGUCACGGUAGGUGGCCCGUCCCCUCCCUGCAAGCCUGGACUUCCUGUGUCCCCCACCCUGAAGAGAGCAGUCAGUGGGCUUCCUCUGGGAGCUGUUGACUUGGCGCAGGGGGACCUUUUCCUGGGGAGGGUGGAGGGAC